UACGAAGGGGCUAGCGUUGCUCGGAAUCACUGGGCGUAAAGCGCACGUAGGCGGAUUGCUAAGUCAGGGGUGAAAUCCUGGAGCUCAACUCCAGAACUGCCUUUGAUACUGGCGAUCUCGAGUCCGGGAGAGGUGAGUGGAACUGCGAGUGUAGAGGUGAAAUUCGUAGAUAUCGCAAGAACACCAGUGGCGAAGGCGGCUCACUGGCCCGGUACUGACGCUGAGGUGCGAAAGCGUGGGGAGCAA
rnacentral:rRNA from 1 species